rnacentral:rRNA from 2 species
CGUGUGCAACCUGCCCCUGACUCUGGGAUAAGCGCUGGAAACGGCGUCUAAUACUGGAUACGAGACGUGAUCGCAUGGUCAACGUUUGGAAAGAUUUUUCGGUUGGGGAUGGGCUCGCGGCCUAUCAGCUUGUUGGUGAGGUAAUGGCUCACCAAGGCGUCGACGGGUAGCCGGCCUGAGAGGGUGACCGGCCACACUGGGACUGAGACACGGCCCAGACUCCUACGGGAGGCAGCAGUGGGGAAUAUUGCACAAUGGGCGAAAGCCUGAUGCAGCAACGCCGCGUGAGGGAUGACGGCCUUCGGGUUGUAAACCUCUUUUAGCAGGGAAGAAGCGAAAGUGACGGUACCUGCAGAAAAAGCGCCGGCUAACUACGUGCCAGCAGCCGCGGUAAUACGUAGGGCGCAAGCGUUAUCCGGAAUUAUUGGGCGUAAAGAGCUCGUAGGCGGUUUGUCGCGUCUGCUGUGAAAUCCGGAGGCUCAACCUCCGGCCUGCAGUGGGUACGGGCAGACUAGAGUGCGGUAGGGGAGAUUGGAAUUCCUGGUGUAGCGGUGGAAUGCGCAGAUAUCAGGAGGAACACCGAUGGCGAAGGCAGAUCUCUGGGCCGUAACUGACGCUGAGGAGCGAAAGGGUGGGGAGCAAACAGGCUUAGAUACCCUGGUAGUCCACCCCGUAAACGUUGGGAACUAGUUGUGGGGUCCAUUCCACGGAUUCCGUGACGCAGCUAACGCAUUAAGUUCCCCGCCUGGGGAGUACGGCCGCAAGGCUAAAACUCAAGGAAUUGACGGGGACC